rnacentral:rRNA from 1 species
AUUGAACGCUGGCGGCAUGCUUUACACAUGCAAGUCGAACGGUAACAGGUUAAGCUGACGAGUGGCGAACGGGUGAGUAAUGCAUCGGAACGUGCCCGGUCGUGGGGGAUAACGCAGCGAAAGCUGCGCUAAUACCGCAUACGAUCUGAGGAUGAAAGCGGGGGACCGUAAGGCCUCGCGCGAUCGGAGCGGCCGAUGUCAGAUUAGGUAGUUGGUGGGGUAAAGGCUCACCAAGCCAACGAUCUGUAGCUGGUCUGAGAGGACGACCAGCCACACUGGGACUGGGACACGGCCCAGACCCCUAAGGGAGGCAGCAGUGGGGAAUUUUGGACAAUGGGCGAAAGCCUGAUCCAGCAAUGCCGCGUGCAGGAAGAAGGCCUUCGGGUUAUAAACUGCUUUUGUACGGAGCGAAAAGGUCUCCUCUAAUACAGGGGGCUCAUGACGGUACCGUAAGAAUAAGCACCGGCUAACUACGUGCCAGCCGCCGCAGUAA